UUCCUUACCUUUUCCAUGUGCAGUUGUCCAGAAAAUUUAACGAGGAUGAAGAUUCACCAAAUAAGCUCUAUACGUUGGUUGCCUAUGUACCCGUCACCACUUUCAAAAAUCCACAGACACUGUGUCUUAUACACA